rnacentral:rRNA from 1 species
UACGUAGGGUGCGAGCGUUAAUCGGAAUUACUGGGCGUAAAGCGUGCGCAGGCGGUUUUGUAAGCCAGAUGUGAAAUCCCCGGGCUCAACCUGGGAACUGCAUUUGUGACUGCACGGCUCGAGUGCGGCAGAGGGGGAUGGAAUUCCGCGUGUAGCAGUGAAAUGCGUAGAUAUGCGGAGGAACACCGAUGGCGAAGGCAAUCCCCUGGGCCUGCACUGACGCUCAUGCACGAAAGCGUGGGGAGCAAACAGG